GACGAACGCUGGCGGCGUGCUUAACACAUGCAAGUCGAACGGAAAGGCCCUGCUUUUGUGGUGUGCUCGAGUGGCGAACGGGUGAGUAACACGUGAGUAACCUGCCCUUGACUUUGGGAUAACUUCAGGAAACUGGGGCUAAUACCGGAUAGGAGCUCCUGCUGCAUGGUGGGGGUUGGAAAGUUUCGGCGGUUGGGGAUGGACUCGCGGCUUAUCAGCUUGUUGGUGGGGUAGUGGCUUACCAAGGCUUUGACGGGUAGCCGGCCUGAGAGGGUGACCGGCCACAUUGGGGCUGAGAUACGGCCCAGACUCCUACGGGAGGCAGCAGUGGGGAAUAUUGCACAAUGGGCGGAAGCCUGAUGCAGCAACGCCGCGUGCGGGAUGCCGGCCUUCGGGUUGUAAACCGCUUUCGCCUGUGACGAAGCGUGAGUGACGGUAAUGGGUAAAGAAGCACCGGCUAACUACGUG
rnacentral:rRNA from 1 species